GACGAACGCUGGCGGCGUGCCUAAUACAUGCAAGUUGAACGCUUCUUUCUUAUCGAACUUCGGUUCACCAAGAAAGAGGAGUAGCGAACGGGUGAGUAACACGUGGGUAACCUGCCCAUCAGCGGGGGAUAACACUUGGAAACAGGUGCUAAUACCGCAUAAUGCUUUUUCUCACAUGAGAGAAAGCUGAAAGGCGCUUUUGCGUCACUGAUGGAUGGACCCGCGGUGCAUUAGCUAGUUGGUAGGGUAACGGCCUACCAAGGCAACGAUGCAUAGCCGACCUGAGAGGGUGAUCGGCCACACUGGGACUGAGACACGGCCCAGACUCCUACGGGAGGCAGCAGUAGGGAAUCUUCGGCAAUGGACGAAAGUCUGACCGAGCAACGCCGCGUGAGUGAAGAAGGUUUUCGGAUCGUAAAAACUCUG
rnacentral:rRNA from 1 species